UGUGGUUUAAUUCGAUGCAACGCGAAGAACCUUACCUGGUCUUGACAUCCCGGAGACCCUUAGGAAACUAGGGGUGCUUCCAUCUGGAAGAAUCUGGAGACAGGUGCUGCAUGGCUGUCGUCAGCUCGUGUCGUGAGAUGUUGGGUUAAGUCCCGCAACGAGCGCAACCCUUGCCUUUAGUUGCCAGCAGUUCGGCUGGGCACUCUAAAGGGACUGCCGGUGUUAAACCGGAGGAAGGUGGGGAUGACGUCAAGUCCUCAUGGCCUUUAUGACCAGGGCUACACACGUACUACAAUGGCCGAUACAAAGGGCAGCGACACUGCGAGGUGAAGCCAAUCCCGUAAAAUCGGUCUCAGUCCGGAUUGGAGUCUGCAACUCGACUCCAUGAAGUUGGAAUCGCUAGUAAUCGUGAAUCAGAAUGUCACGGUGAAUACGUUCCCGGGCCUU
rnacentral:rRNA from 1 species